rnacentral:rRNA from 1 species
AGAUUGAACGCUGGCGGCAGGCCUAACACAUGCAAGUCGAGCGGUAGAGAGGUGCUUGCACCUCUUGAGAGCGGCGGACGGGUGAGUAAUGCCUAGGAAUCUGCCUAGUGGUGGGGGAUAACGUUCGGAAACGGACGCUAAUACCGCAUACGUCCUACGGGAGAAAGCGGGGGACCUUCGGGCCUCGCGCCACUAGAUGAGCCUAGGUCGGAUUAGCUAGUUGGUGAGGUAAUGGCUCACCAAGGCGACGAUCCGUAACUGGUCUGAGAGGAUGAUCAGUCACACUGG